CAAUGCAGCAGAAGGCCAGGGGAAGGUCAGAGGAUGAGCAGUACGAACAAUCCCUUCCCUGGGCUCAAGGGGGCAUUUGUGAUCUACAGCAGCUCUGCAGGCAGAGGCUGUGCCGAUGGUGACCGCCCGGCUUCGCUCCGCCUGCAGCUCCUGCCAGCACCGAACCGAAUUCAUCCUCUGGCAGUGCUUUACCUGAGGGUAAACGGAGACAAAUUCCUCUGUGGAUGCCUGCAGCUCCCCAGGAUCUGUACCCGACACAGAAGCAAUCUGCUCUGCAGCCAGGCUGACAGCACAUUCUGGUUCCCAGUUCAGAGACAUCCAACACAGCAGCACCAUUACCAUUCUUGGACCUACUCACCUCUCCAGCACAGAAGGCAUCAGCUGAUCCUGCCCUCCUGAAUGCCAGCAAUAACCACCACCACCCUCUAUGGAAUGGGAGCCAAGACAGGCAGCCGAGUGCCACAUAAAUCACAGCAAAGGAGGAACAGAUCUCUGAAACCCUGCCAGUCGGUGCCCACCUCCAAUUGCAGUCACACACUGCUGGACAAUUCUUUCCCCGUGCAUGCAAAUGUAUUUCCCUUGUCACACCUGUUAGUAAAAUCCAUAACGUUGCCUGAAAUAAUCCAAAGGCAGAAUAACGAGCACUAUAAUGUUAUGAGAGGUGAUGUAUAGGAAGAGCACAGAGCGCCUGUAUGUGUGCCUGGCCCUGCUGCCUGUCCUGCUACAUGUUGAUGCCUGACCUUGAGUGAAUUGCUUAACUUCCCUGUGCCUUCAAUAAAAUUUGUCUUGUAAAACCCAGGUAAUAGCAUUAAACUUAUCUACAUCAGAUGAAGCUUUUGAUGCUUAAUCAAUAAAGAUUUGUAAAAAGCUUCGAGAUUGUCUAAAGAAAAGAGACGUCCCCAAAAUGUUUCAGCACUGGCCAAGGCUGGAAGAUGAGAGCAGUACAAGGUGCCCUGCUGAGAUGUCUGUGCUGAUGUGAGGCCAGGGGCUGCAGCGCUGCAAGAAGAACCACGGUCACAUUAUGGGACAGGACUGCGUGCCUGGGCUGCAAAGGCCUGGGGUGGAACUGGCUGUCAAACUGCAAGUGCCUUACAUCAAGCAAGAGCUUCUACUUCUGACAGGUUUUGGAUCAGCUGCAUCUAAUUUCAGAGAUAGCAAAGAGUGUUUAUUUCUGAAUGCACGUUUCACCCCUCCUUUCCUCGCCUUUGCCCCCUCAAGCUGUAGCAAUUCGCUGCUGUUCAGUAGGGCGGAAAGAAUUAUUUC